GCCAUCUAAAUCUAACUCUGGCAUCUUCUCCACUUCAAGUCAAUAGGAAUCCCUAUCCAUCUAGGAUGCCUCAACUACGUCAGGAAAUGUGCAAACCUUCAGAGUCACAGUUUAAUGACAAUGGUAAAGAAUCUGAUAUGAUGGUUAUCUCAGAGGACAUGAAUGCAGGUGAUGGAGCUACAACUUUAUCUUCAUCGAAGGAAGCCCCAAAUAGCAAUCAAGGGCCUUCUGCUGCUCCAGCUCGAGUAAAUGAUGUAUUUUGGGAACAGUUCCUAACUGAAAGACCAGGCUCUUCUGAAUACGAAGAGGCAAAUUCUAAUUAUAGGGCAAAUCCAUAUGAUGAGCAGGAAGACAGAAGGUCUAGCCAUGGAGUGGUGAGAAAUGUUAAAAAUAUGGAGCAUCUCUCUCUUUGAGCACUAUUAUUGUUGUAAAGGCCAGUGACAGGUUUGUAAAGUUUUCUUCAAGAGCUUUCAAUGAUUUGGAUGUUCACUAUAUGUGAUAAAGAUAUAUGGCAUAACUAGAUGUAAACCAUCCGUUUAAUUUAAAUGAGAUAGUGUUGAAAUGCUAAAAAAAAAAAA
rnacentral:misc_RNA from 1 species